rnacentral:rRNA from 1 species
AUUAAACGCUGGCGGCAUGCCUUACACAUGCAAGUCGAACGGCAGCACGGGGGCAACCCUGGUGGCGAGUGGCGGACGGGUGAGUAAAGCAUCGGAACGUAUCCUGGAGUGGGGGGAUAACGUAGCGAAAGUUACGCUAAUACCGCAUAUUCUGUGAGCAGGAAAGCAGGGGAUCGCAAGACCUUGCGCUCUGGGAGCGGCCGAUGUCGGAUUAGCUAGUUGGUGGGGUAAAGGCCUACCAAGGCGACGAUCCGUAGCGGGUCUGAGAGGAUGAUCCGCCACACUUGGACUGAGACACGGCCCAGACUCCUACGGGAGGCAGCAGUGGGGAAUUUUGGACAAUGGGCGGAAGCCUGAUCCAGCCAUGCCGCGUGAGUGAAGAAGGCU